rnacentral:rRNA from 1 species
UGGUGGACUGAUUUGUCUGGUUAAUUCCGAUAACGAACGAGACCUUAACCUGCUAACUAGUGACCAGGACCUCUUGGUCAGUCUCGUUUCUUCGAUCGCGGCCGCGAUUUCGGUCGUGUGUUCCCGUUGGUCGAUGGAAACGGACUGAUCGUCCUGGGCGCACUUCUUAGAGGGACAUUCGGCGUUGCAGCCGAAGGAAGUUUGAGGCAAUAACA